CGGAAUUUAGCUCAGCUUGGUAGAGCGUGCGUUCGGGACGCAGAGGUCGCAAGUUCAAAUCUUGUAAUUCCGA
rnacentral:tRNA from 1 species